UUUUUUUUUUUUAAGAUUUUAUUUAUUUCUUAGAGACUGAGAGUGAGUGGGAGGGGCAGAGGAGGAGGAAGAAAGAAUCCAAGGCCGGCUCCUCAGUGAGCAAGGAGCCCGACGCGGGGCUCGAUCUCAUCUGGUGGCGGCUGUGAGAUGGUGACCUGAGGUUCGGCCAUCCCCAGAGGGACCACUUACAAGACCGCUGUCCAGGCGGUGAGGGCCUGCACCAGACACUCGGAAGAGAGCUACGGGGAGAGAUACAUGAGGAAUGAAUGCCACCGCGUGCCUCGGACGACCAACCGGUAUGCUCUUUGGGAGCGGGGAUUGUGUUUCAUUCAUUCUUUAACCCCGACACGUGGUCCUUAUUAGCUGCUCCAUAAAUAGUGGUGGGAUGACUGAUGGGAAGCGUCAACAAAGAUCCCAAGGUUCAGGCCUGUGUUCCUUCCCUUGAAGAAGGGGAAAAUCAAGUCAAUUUACAAGUACUUAAAUAACAGUAAGAAUGACGCAGAAAGAUACUGUAGAAACAGCAUCCGUCUGAGAGUCAGGGGAUCUAAAGCCCAACUUUCCCACCCAACCUUGGGCAAACGACUUGACUUCUCUGCCUGAGGUCCGUUUCCUUCUCUGCAUAUAGGAGUACGAACCUCCAACCACAGAGCUGCCCGGAGGAGUACCUGGAUGACAUACGCGGACCACGUAUCUCGGGGACCAUUCCCGGGGUUUGUCCCGAAGUAUAUACUUCAGGCCCCCGUCAAACAAACCAUGAGUUGUGUCUGUCGUGCUCCUUCCUGGAAAACCACUGCAGAUUUAAAAAUCCUCCUCUACCUGCCGUCUGCAGAGUCCUGGAAGGGCACAGUUUGUGCCACUGUUACUCGUUAGCUUGUAUUUUAGCUCUUAGGACUCUGGGCUCUUCGGAGCGGGGCUGAGGACAGGAGCCUUCCCCUGUGAUCGUGCUUUGACCUUAGGCCCCGCAUUCAGACCAGCAGGAGCACCUGAACUCUGCCGCAGAGGUGGAAGCAGACUCUAACCCUCCACCUCUGGUGCCCUGUGUGUCUCUGUCUCCUCUAUGCUUCCCUAAAUGCCCUCAGCCACACCAACGCCUACUGGGCUCGGGGAGAGAAUUUCCCAACUGAACUGGACAGAUGCCUUCAUAUUUCAGUCUGUUAAAUAAUGGUUUGUUAUGUCUGUUCAAAAACGAUUGUCUCUACGACUCUGUACUGAAUUUGCUGAAAUAAGUAAAUAAAUAAAUGCAUGCUUCCCCAGGAGACGAUGCGGUUGUGGGAACUGGGCAAACAAGAGGAAGGAGUUCCCUUUCAGGAUAUUUAUAAUUCAGAUAAUGACCUCCGUUGACUUGUUACCCAGGAUUAACCUUCCCUUCUAACUCAUGACAGUUGACUUUCUUAUUGUUUUUGUCGUCACUCCUUUCUCCUUUAAGACAUGGCUGUAAGACUUGUCUUUCAAAGACCCUCUAUCUGUCAGAUUUUAUUUUAGAGCAUUCCAAGCCUCGGGUGUCCAAGAACACUUGUAAAUCAUGCAGUUUACUCUUGUUGAAUAUUCACGGCUUCACAUAGUUGCUAUUUCUAUAAGUUUACCAAAGCCAGCUGGUGACUUUACGCUGAGAAAAGUGUGCUUUAAAGCAGCAUAUAUUAUAUAUCUUAAAUAUGUAUUAACAUGUUGGAAUAGUGUGACUGAAAUAUUCCUUAAAGUCCAUAAAAUCCAAUACAAAGGCAAAAAAGAAAAAAAAAAGAAAGAGUAUGCAAUGAGUCUUCAUUUGAAACAUACAAUUUAUUCUUUUCUAGAAUUUCCUAUUUUCUGGAUUCCUUAAUCUAUGGUUUCUUAGGCUUACAUGAAAAUGCUCCUGCUACCUUGUGGAAAUAUUUGCAUUCUAACCAAAUCAUUUCAGAACUUCUCAAAGGCUGAGAGAGAUCUAGGCUGCCUCCAUUACUUUUGAGGUUCCCAGUAUAUUAAUUUUUUAAAAAAAUCACUAAAAGGGUUAAAAAUUGGGGUGUUUUGAAAGUUCACAUUUUUAACAGUUGAUGCCUUUAACACACACACAAAAAUUACAACACAAAACAGUUGUGCUAGUCGGAAGAUAAUUUAAAGAUUCAACUUUUAAAAUCCACAGUACACUGGAAGGUGAUAUAGUUUCUUCAGGGAUCUCAAUUUUAAAUUUGGAUGAGGGUGUCUUCUUUCAAUCCCAUCAGUGUAUUUUGGUGUAAUCUCCAUUCAAGGUAAUGUCAGAAGCCUAAAUUCAAGACUCUUUAUAAAUGUAAGAACUGGGCCAGAUAACCUUCUGGGUCGGUGCCCACUCCUCCUCCUUUCCGUUACCAUAAGCCAAGAAUAUUUAAUCCAUAAUUGGGAAACUAUAUUAUUAUUUAGUAACACAUAAUGAAUUAAAGAUGAUGAUCAAGUCUUACCCAUGUCCAGUUGUGUAAAGAAAAACUCUGAAUAACCCUAGCUUGGGGAAGUGUAACAAAGGGCAAAUUCUAAGACGAGUUUUCUCUCCAAAUGCUGACGCCGAGGCUUUUCUCAGCUAAUUUUUAGAGGUAUUGGUUUGCUAAGUCUUGUUUAGAUCACAAGCUCCUUGCAAAGGAACUCUACGUAUACUGAGCUGUUACUAAAAACUAGUAAUUAAUCUUGUUGGGUAGUUGCCAUCGAAACUAUUUAAGAUUUAAAUAGGAAAAUAAUUUUCCACUUAUGACACGGGCUACACUGACAUUUGCACGUAUACUUUACAGAUGUGGAAAUACUCUGCACUCUGUGCUUACGACCACAGACGCCAUCUGCUAGGCAACGUGGAGUACGACCUACAAGGACAUGCAAGUAAAUACCGCUCACUCAAGUGAUUGCCUCUCAUUUGGAAACACCCUGCUUCACUUUUAGUAGCACAGAAAAGAUAUUCCCCAUCUGCGUGUAAUUUGCAGCUGAAACGACCCUUUCGUACAGACAAGUUGGCUGUUCCAUGGUGUCAGUAGAGACCAGGCCUAGCUGGACUUAGAUCAUUAGCC
rnacentral:lncRNA from 1 species